GAGGUGAUCUGUACAACGAGGUGAUCUGUACAAUGGGGUGGUCUGUACAAUGGCUGAUGUGUACAAUGAAGUGACGUGUACAAUGUGGCUCAAGCCGUCUGUGUAAUUAUCUUAAACUUUUUCAUUUCGGAAAUGAAACAGCUCCUCCCUUCACCGCCACCUUGGCUAUUUCUGGGACCAAAGGAAUCCUUGAAGCUGACCGGGCAGGAGAGUCCACGCUGGGAGUAAAAUCACUACAAACGUUUGUAGGGGGGCCCUGGCUGAAUUAGUUCAAUUUCAGGGAGAAAACUGGUGUGUGUGUGUGUGUGUGUGUGUGUGUGUAAAAUCACUGCAAAUGUCUGUCGGGGCGUGGCUGGAUUAGCUCAGUUUCCGGGAGAAAACUGGUGUGUGUGUGUGUGUGUGUGUGUGUUGUGUGUGUGUGUGUGUUGGGAGGAAGGGGGAGGAAGGAGGAGGGCAUUCUCUGGUGGAGGAGAAACAGCCUGAGCUUCUCCCCUUCCCAUGUCUUUCACAGCAGCUCAUACACUGUUUUCUCGCCUUGCAAUGCCCAACUUUCUACCUAAUGACCUACCCUCCCCUAAGGCCCUGCUCAACUCACCUUCACUGAGAAAUCUUCUCUGGCCUUCAGCCCUUUUCUUAAAGCCCAAGGUCUCUGAAGCUGCACUUGAUUGGUUGGAUACUGUAUUAGACCAUUCCCACGCUGCUAAUAAAAACAUACCUGAGACUGGUGUCCAUCAGAAGGCCCCUGCUGAGUAGUUGGCAGGGUGGCUGCACAUAAUGGAAAGCACAUAAGCUUGAAGCCAGACAGAUGGGAGUUCUAACCCCAGCCCUGCCACUUAUUCCCAGGUGACACUGAGUGGAAAUUAGGCCAAAAUAAAUACUACUUUCUGCUUAAAAAAAUGCAGUGAUGUCCAAAGAGAAGGGAGGAGGAAGGAUGAAAGGAAAGACAGAGGAGGAAGGAAGAGAAGAAAGAAGAGUGGCCGGCACAAGGGCUUGGAGAUCCCUGAAGCUGUUUUCCUUUCUCCUCACCCCCACAGGGAGGGAUCCACAUCGUUGUGGGGUUUUUGUUGUUGUUGUUUUUGUUUUUGUUUUUUUGCCUCCCUUCAUCAAAGCAUUCAUUGUAGUGUAUGGUAAUUGUCUCUGAAUGUAACAGCCUCUCUUCCCUGAGGCCUGGGUCUGCUUGUUUCAUACCAUCUUCUCCUUAACACACAGUGCUUGGUAAACAAUACCUAUUAAUAAACAUUUGUUGAAUGAAUGAAUGAGUGAAUGAACGAAUACUGCACUCUUUCGACUUGGUUAGAGACAUGUCUUGUAGGCUGGCAUGUACUUCACACAGCACUCUUAGGUAGAGUUUGUAUAUGUUAUUCCAUUGAAGGGAAAAGGAAGCCAGACUGUGGGGAGAAAAAAAAAAAAAAAA
rnacentral:lncRNA from 1 species